rnacentral:lncRNA from 1 species
UGUACUCAUUGUGUAGUAUUCAAACAAGCUGUGGUUUCUAUAUGUUUGAUAACGUCCCAUUUAUUCCAUUCCAGCCAUUACAAUGAGCCCGUCCUCCUCCCACCAGCCUCCUCUGUGCUAUACAGGUGUCGGGUUGGUUGGUGGCCAAUUUUUUUUCCCCUCUGUUUGUAUCACAAAUGUAACGUGAUUGAACACACACUAUCGCACAGUAGGUGGCGGUAUGCACAAACAAAAUGUGUGAACGCCAUGAUACCAAAGAAGAAGAUACACUCCAGCCUCGCCAGCCAGCAUUCCUUCCUGAGAAGCAGUUAGUCAACCGGCUGUUGCAUUUUCGGUUAUCCAUUGGUCUUGUCUGGACCGUGAAGUCGCGGGAGAGUUUGGACAGAAAUGGUGGAGAAAUAAAUGGAGUUCACUCAGGCCGUUUAAAAAAGGUAUCAAUUUACGGUCUGCUAAAAAGGGUGGCGCUCCCAUAGACACCAAUGCGAUAGCAGCUGGGUCUGGGUCUGCUUUGUUCAUUGAUUGAACCAGAAAAAACAGCGACUGGAAUGGAAUUCUUCCUGCCCCCCCCCCAAAAAACGUGACUAGCUAAGCAUAUUGACGCCGAUAAAUACAGAAACAAAAGGCUUUGAAUGCUAACUGUCAAAGGUGACCGUUAGGAUCGCGUGACAAGAAUGGAGGAUAAUUUGGAGAGCGUGCUCCAUUGCGAUGACAAGGAGGAGUUGAGGCGGAAACUGGCCUUGCUACAGAGGGAGUACUCCAGGACAGUUCAGAGAUUACAGCGAGCUGAGCGUUCAGAUGCCGUGCGGAAGCAUGUGAGGAGCCGGAUCUCUGAGCAGAACCUUCAGGACCAGACAGACCCAGUCCCAGCCAACACCUUUCCCAACCCAGCUCUACCCCCCCUCUCCCUUGGUUGCCCUGCUAGGACAGCCCCAGGUUCAGCCUUACCACUAGGCCCCGCUGGAGACUCGACUGUGGCGGCAUCGUGUCCGGUGGAAUCUGAGAACACCAGGCGGAGUAGUCCGUCCAUCCGCUUCCUCAUCCCCGUCGAUAACUCUUGCCCUCGGACACCUGACCUUAACCCUCACAGACGAAGCCACUCCCUCUGGCUGAGGUCACGGAGAAGCCGGCUGUGCUGGGAGCGGACGGGGAGGGGCGAGGGGGCAGAGGGGAGGUAUGACACAGAGACCAGCGAGGACGGGCUGGAGCUGGACGCACGGACAGAGAAAGAAGAGGACGGAGAGAAGAGAAAGAUGGGGGAAGAGAAGGAGGGUGAGAAGAAAGAGCUAGAGAGGGAGGAGAAUGAGAGGUUAACUCCAGAUAAAGAGGCAAUGAAACAGAGAGAUGGAGAGGAGAGAGAAGAACAGAGGACAUAUGGACAGAAGGAGAUAGAGAAGGAAUGGGUGAACCUGAGGAGAGAUGGAGAGAGAGAAGAGGGAGGUGAUUCAGGAGCUGUGGGAGCCUCCGUGUUAGGGGCUGUUGGGUUGUGUAACACUGGUGGGGUCCUGGACUCGUGCACUCUGGUGGAAGGUCUGCCGUUCCCUGUAGAAUACUACAUCAGAACCACAAGACGCAUGGCCUCUUCACAGAGCCACAGAGACCUGCAGGCUGUCAUUCUGAACCAACUCAACAGGGGGCGCCACAGAAGGAGCAGGGGCCGGAUGUCUAACCCACACUCACUCUCAACUUCACACUCCGACUCACUAGCACAACCCUCCAAUCACCGCCAGUGCUCAAGUCAACUGACCUCAAACUCACCGACCAAUCGCACACCGGUCGAGGAGCCAUCAGCCAAUCAGAUGCUUACCUCUGAGUCAGGGACCAAUCAGAGUGAGCGUUUACCUUCCAGAGCCUGCAGUGUUCGGCCUAUCAGAGGCCGGAGGAGGAGAGGAAGGAGGUCGAGACUGGGCCGCUCUCUAAGUUUGGACUCGGAUCCUCCAGCACCAGGCCCAGACAACACCCAGACCCCGGCCGCUAUUAGCCCAGCCUCACAGCCUCUCCCUGGGGGUGGAUGUCCAGAGCGCUGGCCUCUCUCUGGAGGUGUGGAGGAACAGCUUUAUCCCAUCUUCAGGAGCUGUGUCUCUCCCCUCAUUCACACACCAAAGCAGAGCAAAGAGAGUGUGUGGUGUCUCCUCCUGCCCUCCUCCCUCUCCCCUGGAGGACCAGCAGUGCACCCUGGGAGUCUGGGCCGCGUCAUCUCAACCUUUGACCUCCAGGAUUUCCAUCUCCCCGACGACCAGUUCGGACAGCUAAAGCUCCAGAAGCUUCGCGCCUCGUCUGCCGUUGCCGUCCCAGAACCGGAACCCUUCUCACCUUACAACAUGCGUCGUCGCCGCAGCAGAGGCUCGGUCCACGGCGACACAGGUGGUCUGAUGUCUAAAGCGCCUACGCCUGAGCCCCUCCCUCUCAGCCUCACCCCUCCAGUCACAGACUGUGUCACUCCGGUAGAACAGUCUAUAGACAGAUCUAUAGGCCAGCAUCUUAUAGACCACCCUAUAGGCCAGCAGUCUACAGACGCACUAGACCAUUCUACAGACCUCCAUUGA